ACGAAAAACUCGAUGAAACAGACGAGACAUGCUGGCUGAUGAAGAGAUGACAAAUCCGUACAAGUGUAUAGUGGGAACAUCUGAAACAAAGCGAUCACGUGGAAGAAAUAUGCGUAAAUGAGAGGACAAUAUUAAAACGAAUCGCAGAGAAACAAUAAGGCUUGAGGAUCUGGGAUCAGCUGACUGACGACACGAUCUAGAAGCUUACGUUUGAAAACUGCGCUGAACAAAAUCGUGGAGCUUCGCAAGAAGGACUCUUGUACAGUGGAGUUGGAAGAUAAAAGAUGAGUUUGAGGAACUUUGUGAGGCAACCACGGAUCCCAUUUUCCAGAAUAAGCGGUAGAGUUUGCACCUAGCAGCCAUCAAAUAGCCACUAGCUUGUGUGAAGGAGAGGGUUUGUGGUUCAGCUACAGAGGAACAUCACAGGGCUAAUUACGUGUGGCUAUCCAAUGGACUUGGGCCAGCCCAGACCAUCAAAUCCGUCUGAGAGGAAGUUCUAGAGCUUGUGGUAUUGUGGGUGUGGGGUAGAGGAAAUUGCCAGCCUGGUGUUGGAGGUUCGUGUGGAGUGGAAUCGUCGUAUUUCAGUUUUGUCAAUAUGAAUGACUAAACUGGAAAGGCAGACAAAUUGGCGGAUAAUAGUUUGCCACGAGUUGUACCCUUCUUGUCGUAAGUGCAAAAGUUACCAAGUCGUCCUGUUGGUGUUCAUGUUAUGUUGGAUAUGACGGUAAAACGUGUUGUCGGCGAGGAGAAAUCAGAACUAGAGUACGCGGAACAAGUGAUGUGAUAAGGGUAAAUUACAAUUGAACUUUGUCAUGGAGACGGGCUAUGUUUCCUUUGCCGUACGGACUGAAUUCUGAAAAAAUUAUACGAGCAUCGGCUUCUAAGGGUUGAGAUGCUGUAAAGCUUGACCACGCCAUAUAUUUAUUUACUGCCAUAAACUGCAAGUGACGUGUGGUAUAAUAAUGUGCUCAAGUUCCAGAACACGCUACGGGCGAUGACAGAAAUUUUGUCUUAUAGAACUAAUUUGUAUGGAACAUAACUUCAUGUCCCUGAAGUUUCUUCCGAACUAUUCUGUAGAACAUACAUUCUGUACAAAAAGUUCUCAAUGUUAACGAACCUUAAUGGCGUCGGAUUCACCCAA